UACGUAGGGUGCGAGCGUUAAUCGGAAUUACUGGGCGUAAAGAGUGCGUAGGCGGUUUCUCAAGUCCGCUGUGAAAUCCCCGGGCUCAACCUGGGAAUGGCAGUGGAAACUAGGAGACUUGAAUCUGGCAGAGGGGGGUGGAAUUCCACGUGUAGCAGUGAAAUGUGUAGAGAUGUGGAGGAACACCGAUGGCGAAGGCAGCCCCCUGGGCUGAGAUUGACGCUCAGGCACGAAAGCGUGGGGAGCAAACAGG
rnacentral:rRNA from 1 species